GCCUUUGUUGCUUAGUGGUUAGAGCAUUGGCCCGAAUGGUUGAGGGUUCAAUUCCCAGUUAAGGGCA
rfam:Myotis brandtii contig222479, whole genome shotgun sequence.